rnacentral:rRNA from 1 species
UACGUAGGGUGCAAGCGUUAAUCGGAAUUACUGGGCGUAAAGCGUGCGCAGGCGGUUUUGUAAGUCUGUCGUGAAAGCCCCGGGCUCAACCUGGGAAUUGCGAUGGAGACUGCAAGGCUUGAAUCUGGCAGAGGGGGGUAGAAUUCCACGUGUAGCAGUGAAAUGCGUAGAGAUGUGGAGGAACACCGAUGGCGAAGGCAGCCCUCUGGGCCAGGAUUGACGCUCAUGCACGAAAGCGUGGGGAGCAAACAGG